AACGAACGCUGGCGGCAGGCUUAACACAUGCAAGUCGAGCGGGUGUCCGUUGGGUCAUCAGCGGCGGACGGGUGAGUAACGCGGGGGAACGUGCCUAGUUCUUGGGUAUAGCCCUGGGAAACCGGGGGUAAGACCCGAUGAGCCCAGAGGGGGAGAGGUGGCAAGACCGGCACGGGAUCGGCUCGCGCCUGCUUAGGUAGUUGGGGGGGUAACGGCCGUCCAAGCCGACGAGCGGUAGCUGGGCUGAGAGGCUGAUCCGCAACACUGGGACUGAGACACGGCCCAGACUCCUACGGGAGGCAGCAGUGGGUAAUCUUAGACAAUGGGCGCAAGCCUGAUCUAGCCCUGCCGCGUGAGUGAUGAAGGCCUUAGGGUCGUAAAGCCCUUUCGCCGGGGACGAUAAUGACGGUACCCGGUAAAGAAGCCCCGGCUAACUCCGUG
rnacentral:rRNA from 1 species